rnacentral:rRNA from 1 species
CACGUAGGGGGCAAGCGUUGUCCGGAUUUAUUGGGCGUAAAGAGCUCGUGGGCGGCUUAGUAAGUCGGGUGUGAAACCUCCAGGCUCAACCUGGAGACGCCACCCGAUACUGCUGUGGCUAGAGUCCGGUAGGGGAGCGUGGAAUUCCUGGUGUAGCGGUGAAAUGCGCAGAUAUCAGGAGGAACACCAGCGGCGAAGGCGGCGCUCUGGGCCGGUACUGACGCUGAGGAGCGAAAGCGUGGGGAGCAAACAGG